UGUGGCACACUCGGCUUGCCAUAAAUAUCUACGCGUGUGGAAUAAUGUAAUACGCCCGAAUGCAUCUUUUAUCACAUUAGUGAAUUAUGGCACUAAUGUGACGCCAUAGUCCAGCAUUUACACUUCCGAACACUCACGAAGACAACCCGCUGAGCGACUGGACCUAAGGGGGACAAGCUGGCAGGUGGACCAUUCCUACGACGUUGGAGAAGCAUAGAUCUGCCUUCUGAUUUGAAUGCUGAUUUAUUGACAAGUACAUCGAGCGAGGAUUCAACCCACCCAACAUGUUGUCCAGUUAUGGAAUGCCAUUGGGGACUAAACCAUCUGGGAAAGUACGGCUCGAUUCGACCAAAUGGACCACGUCAAAAAGAACGCGUUGGCGGGACCCACAUUUAACGUCUUCAGACGUUCCAAUCAAAAUGCAACGAGUGG